CAAUAAAUGUAAUGAAAAACUAAAACUUCUGUUGGUGCCGAGCAUGGGGGCACACACCUGUAACUUGGGAGAUAAAGGCACAAGAGCUGUUGCAUAUUCAAGGUUGGCCUAGGAGCAAAAAGAGAUCCUAUACCAACACACACAUAUGCUCAAGGUGUAUCCACGUAUAUACCAAAGAUUACAUAUUUAAGGGGCCUGCCACAUAAUUACUUAGACCCUACCCUAUAUAGUGUUGAUAGGGAGGGGAAUUACAAGGAGUAGGGAUCCAUAUCUUGAGAAACACCCAUGUUAGCAACAGCAGGGAUCUAAAUUGCAUUAGCUGUGGGAGUGAGGGGGUCCAAAGGUUCAAACGGAAGGCUUUAGGGCAAAAGUUGAAUACACACUGAACGCUUGCCACGGAAAACCCUGGAAUAGAAGCGGAACAGUCUGGACAUUGUACCAAGCUUAAGGUAAUUUUCAGCCCUGGCUGCUGAGCAGAAUCGCCUGGAGAGCUUUAAGAGCUAUACCCACAGCCUACCUCCCUCCAGAUCAAAGGUAAUGUCUGGGAAGUGAAACAGGGUGAUUACAACAAACAGUCCAGUUUAGGAACCACAGAGCUUGACCACAGGAAGGAACGAUGUGAGAUAACAUUGAGACCUGGGUUUAAAGGCAGUGGUUCUGUGCCUGCUACCUGUGGAAGCUUCUCUUCUAACGUGAGUUAAACAGUGUUUUCUGAGUGUUUCCUGCACACCCAGCUUACUGUAAAAUCUGAUUUUUUUUUUUACUUGUGUGAUGUUCCAUAGACAAAGCUACAAAAUAACUAUUCUAAGUGGCCUUUACUAUACUGCAAGGAAAUGCUUUUGUAUCAGGAAAUGUCCUAAGUUUUACCCAUGCCCAAACUUCACAAAACUACUUUUAAAUACACGGAGAAUCUAAGUAGGUACCCAACCUUUUGAUAUUGUGACACAACCUUAUCAUUUACACGGUGCACCCUCGAGAGCCACACAAUCAGAUUAAGAAAAAAAAAAAACUAAGGUAUUGAAUAAGUUUCCAAUUUGGUGUUGGACCACAUUCAUGGUUGUUCUGGGUCACAUGUGGCUGGCGGGCCUUUGGUGUGACAUGCUUGACAGAGCUUUCAUCUAUAACUCUUGGUUUCACAAAGUGGAAUGAUUACAAUGUAUCUGACUUAUUUUGCAACAAAUACUUUCAGUGUACUUCCCAAACAAAUGGAAACACAGUAUCUACACAGCAAACCGAGAGUCCUGGGGAAAAGGAAAACGUCACUAAGGUGACUGUUGAGAUGGCAAAAACCAAGUCUGGCUGGCCAUGGGGAUAAGAUGCUGCAGGGUACACCCACCACGAAGUUUGCUUAAGAAAUCUGUCCAUUGCUACCUAUAAAGUUAGCCAGAACUGUCCUGAAUGUUUCUUCGCUCUACUUAGCGGUAAAAUGUUAUUCGAACAUUAGUGAAGCUUUGGCAGUUAGUUUCAUGUGAUCUCUUAUCUGCAGACGAGGUCAAUAAAAGCAAAAAGACCCCCUCAGAGAGAAGAGAACUCAACAGUCAAAAUGCCCAACCUCAGCAAGAGCCCAGAAACCCCAUGCUUGUUCAGGAAACACGAAAUCAGACGAGCUAGUCAUUCGCUUGGACCAGUGCUGUUCAGAAGCAAAAAGAUGGGCUUCUAAAAAGAAAACGCCAGCCUAACUCUCCGACACAGGGGUGAAAGUUAUAAAAGCCAGCAGUACGAGUUUGACGAGUGGGUCAGAAGGAAAGUCAGAAGACAAGGAAAGAGAUGGAAGAGAUGGCAAAAGGUGAAGGAGGCAGGCAAAGGCCGCCCGUGCAAGCUCAGAAGUGGAAAAAGUGAAGAGGAGGAGGGCACCAGAGGCUUUCGGAGAUAGGUUCCUUUAGCCUGAGGAUCAGAAGGCGGGAAACGGUGGAGAAGAAUUCAGCUCUGUCCGGACGUCUCUUCCAGUGCAAGAUCUUUGCAGACCCAAGGCUGCUGGAAUUCGUAAACUGUUGACUCCUGACAUCCUUUAUUUGCCAGAAAGCAUGAAGGCCAUUUUCAGAAAUGCUCCGGAGCCCCCAGCUAAGGGAGGGAAUGUGUGACUUUGGGGGAUGGGGAUUGGAAUCCCAAACUUAGGUUACUAGACACUUGUAUCUAGGACCUGAGACCGCAGAGUCCUCUAAGGUGCCUUUGGAGCUCUGGAACUGUAGUCCCAAUUACCUUUUUUCUAGGUUUGUUUCAUUUCACAAGCCUGUCUUCCAGAGACAGGUGUCGGGUCCUUCACCUAGUGGUGGUGAAAGAUUUAUGAGCUCUUCACAACCAGAUUAGUCACAUCUAUAGCAAAUAUAUAAUGGAAGCAGACCUUGCGUUGAGAAAAAGAUAAGUCCGUUUUGUCUUUACUACGCAUUUUGAAAAUCUGUGAUGAAAUGAAUCUUUAACGUUGCUUCAAAACUGGUGUUAAUAAGCAAUCUGAAAUUUUUUUUCACUUCCUUGUCCCAUCUGGGCCAGAGCAGUGAAUUUUAAUUAGCCUUUGAAUGGAUUUGUCAUUCCCAAGUAAGUCCAAGCAGCAGAGAUCUUAUGACUCAGAGUCGUAAUAGUAAUACUAAUAACUCAUCCAUGAAACUAUAAUGCUAAUAUAUGUCCAGCUGCACGAUUUCCAUCUGAGUAAAAAUGUAAGGUUUUAUGGGUAACAAAUAUCAAAUCCAGGGUACAUAUAACUUCCUGAACUAUAAUACAUUUAAUUCUAAGUUAAAAUAAAACAUGUUGGGUUUUGUUGAGACAGGAUCCCACUGUGUAGACUUGGCUGUCUUUGAACUCAUAGAGAUCCAGUUGCCUCUGCAUCUUGAAUAUGACUGCUGGAAUUAAAAGGGUACACCACUACAUUCAGAUGCAAAAGAAAGUUUUGAUGAUUCAGAAAACAGAAUUUGAGAGUUUGAACUAUUAAUACCAUUCAGACAUGACUUUAAAAUAGAAAGUAAAUUAUUUCUGAUUGUUGAAGGUCAGAAUAUUAACUUUUAAUUUUAAUCUUCAUUUCCUAAUUGAAGUCCAUCCUAAACUGGUGAGAUGGCGAGGUGGCUCCGUCAAGACGCCACCUGUCAACAGGCCUGAUGGCCUGAGUUUGAGCUCCAGAACCUACAUGGUGGAAGAGAGAACAGACUUCAAGUUGUUCUCUAACCUCCAAACAUGGACUAUGCAUGCAUGUGUGCACAAACACAUAUAUACACAUAUAAAUAAAAUGUAAAAAAGUAAAGUCCAAAUCUCAACUAGAGGUCUUUUUUUGAUUAGCUUUAUUCAACAUUAUUUAGCAUGAGAGAUUGAGAUGAUACCACGCAAGGGUAGCUGGUAUGUGCUUAGUGUCUAGAUUGGUAAUAACAUACAGUAUGUGUUAUUGAAACUGGUGUGUCUACAGGUCAAGUCCUUCAGGCUGACUCUUUCACCCACUUAUUUGAGUGGUACAGAAAGAUUUGCAUGGUAUAUAAUCACUUGUUUGCAUCCUCAGAUUCAUUUCAUGAAAUGGGCUUCAGCAGCAGCUCUGGUCAAAAGCUCAGCUGCUCAGAAGGCUCAGCUCCACCUACUCCCUCCUUGCUCUGACCUGCAAUCAUUGAAACAAAUGUAUCUCUUUCCAGUGCACCCCUCUUUUCCACCUGCCCACAUCCUCUGUUACCAGGACUACUGAGUCUUGACCUGCGGCCAUGCAUGCGUGAUCAUAGUCCAGUUGCUACACAGAAUUGCUUGGCCAAGUUCUGUGGGAGCCCGUUUUCAGGUUCCUGGUGGCUUUAUCCAGCAGGUCUGCAUUGAGAGGAUGAUUAGGACCACGGGCCCGAGUGCAGGUGUCUGAGAUGGUCUGCACUUGGCUGUGCUGGGAGGGAGGUCUUUUGCUCCACCCCCUUGGCAUCUCUAUAAAUACCCUGGGGCAGAGACAGUCAGGGCCCUUUGGAAAAGGUUCCAUCCAGGCCCUCUGGAGGCUAUCCUUUAUUUUCUGUUUAUCUCUGCAAGAUUCUCCACAAUAAAUCCUUCUAUCUAAUAUUUCCUGCUGCUCACACUCAAGAAAACUCUGGAGAGCUGUGGGGUUGGUGGUUAAACGCCCCACAAAGUUCAAACUGCAUGGCUUUUGCCUGCAAUCACACACUCAUCAAACUUGCUUUUGUAACUUUGAGAGUUAGACUUUGUCUUGAUUUAGAGGGCCAACUUUUGCUUUCUGAAUAGGAGUAGUACAAGUGUUUAUUUCCAUGUUUCUAGAAGAAAUAUCCCAGCUUUUCCAGAGGUUGUAAUUUUUAUUUUGCAUUCCCAACAGCAGUAUAUGAAGGGUCCAGAUAGUCCACACCAUCACUGACACCGAGCUAUUUCUUAGUUUUUGAGACAGUCUCACUAGAUAGUUCAGGACAUCAUUAAACUGGUCAGCUUCCAACCUUAGCCUCCCUGGUGCUGGAUUUACAAGUAUUACAGAUGUGCACUACUUUUUCAAACAACUAGUGGUGCUGAGCAUAUAUAUUCCCAAAUCAUAUUGUUUUAUUACAGUGGGUUUCUUUUCAGACACUAUAAUCUCUGGAAGCAUCUCACUGACUUAUAAAAGUUCUUUAUAUGUUGUACUAAUGUUUUCAACGAUUGUGCAGCUUGUUUUGCAUUUAUAAGAAUGGCUUAUGUUUACUAACCUCUUUCAUCCACAUAACCACCCUGCAAUACAGCUCUUGUCAUCAUCACACUUAUGAAGAAAGUCAGGGUCCAAGAAAGCAACCAUUGCCUCAGCAUCACACAACUAGGUGGCCAUGCUAAAACAGCAAGUCACAAUAGAGAUGCCAACUCAGUAGGCGUUUCCCUAGGUCAUCGUAGUCCAUCUUUUCUUGAUUUAUUAUGAAUCUAUCAGUCUAAUUAUGCCAUUGCUGUGUCUAUUCUCCAGAAAUCAAGAGCUGAGAUCUGAAUCUUAGCCUGUUAGUCCUUGAUGCAGAAACAGACUGAAACAGAAGUCUUUUCAUUUAGAAAUCCAUUCUUAGAAUGUCAAUAUAAAGCUUUACUGUUCCAGAAGCCCUUCAAGCUCUCUCUGAAUUUGCUCAUGAAAUACCUGUUUGGCCAGGUUUAAGUCUUAUGUUGGACGGACACACACACACACACACACCCCUAUGCGUGUGAAUUUCUAACUGAAAGCAAAUCCACCACCCUGUCUUUAGUCUUUCCUCAAAGUCUCAAAGUUUGUUACCUCAUGGGUUGAAUGCCAUUUUUAUAUCAUAAAACAAGAGAUUCAUAUGGUUUUGUCGUUUGUUGUUUUGUUCGAGACAGGGUUUCUCAGUGUAGCCCCAGCUGUCCUGGAACUCACUCUGUAGACCAGGGUGGUCUCAAACUCAGAGAUCCACCUGACUCUGCCUCCCAAAUGCUGAGAUUAAAGGUGUGCUCCACCACUGCCUGUUGGGUUUUGUUUCUAAAUUAAAAGCACAGCCAGGCACUGCAUUGGUACUUUUAAUCCCAGCACUUGGGAAGAAGAUAGGUGAAUCUGAAUUCAAGGGCAGAAAAUACUAUUACUUAAGUCCAUUUUACAGCUAGAUUACUUCUGGAUCAUACCUGUGGUACCAUAUCAAAAAAGUCCUUUAAUCCCAGCAGAGGCCAGGCUGGUCUACAAAGUGAGUUCCAGGACAGCUAGGGCUGGGAGAGAAACCCUGACUUGAAUAAACAGAUCUUUUACUAAUUAAUACAAGGUCACAAAGAGUUUCAUCGUCUAGAUAUUUUUAGUGUUUUCCUUAGGUCCAAGGGACAUUGUAACAAUUUACUAAAAAAACUUUAACUUUAUUGCAUUGUGCGCAGUUGUCAGAACCCCUGAACUGGAGUUACAGACAGUUGUGAGCUGCCAUGUGGGUGCUGGGAAUUGAACCUGGGUCCUUUGGAAGAGCAGCCAGUGCUCUUAACCAGAGCCAUCUCUCCCAGACUCUUGUUCUUGAGACAGGGUCUAUGUACUCCUGGAGUUCUGCCAUAACCACUACAACUGUCUUUUAUUCCUUUGAUAACUUGUUUUCACUGUUAUCCAGGUUGCUGCUGCUCAGCUAGGAAUAGCAGACUGAGCUACCAUGCUUUUAAAAUUAUUUUUUGUGUACUGUGAAGAUGUGAGUAUUGAUAAAUAUAAUUUUCCUACAUGGUUGUUGAAAGGACUAUUCUUUCCUGGGCCUUGACAAAGCCAAGUGAUCAUGCAAGUGCAGAUAUGUUUAUAUACUCAGUUCUGUAGCAAUGGUUGGUUGAUGUUGACACUGACACCAGUUCAACUUUAUGUGAACUCAAUUAGUAAAGUUCUCCAAAACCCACCAGCAGCAUUUUGUUUAAUCAUAUCACUUGCAAAUAAAAAUUGUUUUUUACUCCUUUCCAAACUGCAUGCUUAAAGCUUUUAAUCAUCAGGCUAUGACAGUAUAGAACAGUAUAUAAGUGCUAAGAGCAGCUUUCUUUACCUUUUCCCAAUCUUAAAUAUAAAAAAGAUCUCACCAAUAAGGCUUUUAUAGCUUUUCCAGGUUGUCUCUUUAAUUCCCAUAUCAUUCAAAUUUUUUGUCACGAUAGUUAACUUUCAUUGUCAAUGGCACACUCUGGAUGUACCUAUGAGGGAGUUGCUGAAAAUUUUAGCCAAAGAGAGAAGACUUACCCUGAAUGUGAUACUACCUAUGGGGCAGGGUCCCCAGUGGGCAGAAAUGAGAGAAAGCAGGUUGAGCAUUAGAAUUCACCCCCUUCAUCCUGACUAUAGAGGCAUUGUGAUCAGAUGCCUCACACUCCAGCUGCUAUGCCCUCCCCACCAUGACAGACUGUAGCCUGUAGCCCUUCAAAUUUCAAGGAAAAACAAAAAACCCUUAAGUUGUCUGUCAGGAGUAACUUAAUACAGAAAACUGGCAAUGGAGUAGGGAUAUUGUAAAAAAUACAACCACAUGGUACUUAGGAUUUUUGUUGUGUUGGAGGAUUGGGAAUUUUGGAGCUAAGGGCUAGCACUCUAGACUGCAGUAAGUAGAGCUUAACUGGGACUUCAGAUGACCAUGGACACCAAACUCAAGAUUUCAGAGGAGGAACGAGGACUCUCUCCAGAUUACUUUAGAUUAUUCAUGAUAUAGAAAGUCUGCUUACAUUCUCAUAUCCAGAGAACUUCAUGAAGCACAAUUCAAAGCAACAGGCUAUUUGUUGAAGGAGGAAAUUUUAAGAUGGAAGAGAAUUCAUUCUGUGGUACAGGUAUUGCUCACUGCUCUUGCUGAAAUGUAUGGUGAGGGAACAGAAAGGUAUAAAAACUUAAUAUCAAGUUGAAAGUGGAAAAUAAGGCAAAGUCUGUAAUUGUUAAAAGAUUAGUGCCAUUAAGAGAAAACCUCAGACCCUUCACUGGGGCAACAAGAAAAGGCUGUGUGCAACUCAUCCAGCAAAGGAUCCAUUACAAAAGUGCAAAUUCAUCUCAAGAAAAAACUCUGAGAAAGUCACUGGAGUUCCUGCUCAAAACCCACUGCCUACAGUUUUCUCAGGGUCAGCACAAAGGCCAAUACUGUGAGACAAGACCAUCCGUAUCUUGAGCUGCCAGAACUUGGCAGAAGCAUCUAAGUGGGGGGAAUUUAGAAGAAAAGAAAGAUUUGUCAGAGGACUAUGGCAGUUCUAGAAGGCCAGAUAAGCAACGUGUGGCAGGGUCAGAUUCCAAUCUGCAAGGUCCUGAAAGGCCACUGCAUGAAGCCAGGAAAGUGAAGUCUAAGACUCAGGGAUGUUGGAGAUGCCAGGAAAUGUGAACUGUUUGCCAAUGAAAGCUGAAAAUUGGAAACAGACGAAGACUAGAGGCUAGGUUUUGUUGUGUGAGAUUUUGGGUUCUGCGAAAUAAAGUUUGCCUGGAGAUCAGGGGGCAAAGCUAGACACUAGUUAACCACAGAGACCAUGGCUCACGCCUUUAAUCCCAGCACUCUGGACUUGGUGGGCAGACAUCUAGGCCCCUUCUGUUGGAAGAUCUGGAGAGGUAAGAAAUCACUGGUGGCUGCCCUCUGCUCUUUCAGGUUAUUACCCUGGUAUUUGACUCCUGGUUUUUGAUAAGACUAAUUAGAUUCAUGCUUCAAGGUGUGCUCCAGGCAGGAGACCUUCAUCCUUCAUCUAUUAAGACAGAAUAUGAAUUACACAAAUUGAUUUUCAAUUCCUGGGACAAAUUCUACAUCAUCACACAUCCUUUUCCACAUAUUGCUGACUAACUUGCUCAUUUAAAGGAUUUCCUUUUUAUUCAUGAGGUAACAAUCUAAAAUUUUCUUGACCUUACUCUUAUUAUAAUGCUCUACUCAUAAAAUGGGUUGGGCAAUAUUUCUAAACUUCAUAAUGUAGAGUAUGAAAAACUGGUUUCUUUUUUUUUUAAACAUUCACUCAUGUGUGCUCAUAUGUGGAGGUCAGAAGGUACUAUGUGGGCUCAGGGAUUGAACUCAGGUCAGAAGGCCUUACAACAGCAAGCACCAUUACCUACUGAGCCAUCUUGUGACAGGACUUCAUUGACUUCACAAAAUCUACAAAUAAGCCACAACCCAAAUGAGCCUUAUUUCAUUUGCACCACUGGUCACUUUUUGGGGGUCCUAAAAUUUUCCUUGAUAUGGCUUUACUUCCAUAUUAACAGAUGUCUGCUAUAAUUUCAUUUAACUUCCUUUAGGUUUAACACUCCAUUUCUCAAGAUAUAGACUUACAAACUGGAUUCAAGUUUUUUUGUAUAUACAUUCACCACCGCAUAUUAUACUUUUAAGUAGUAUCUCUAACUGUAUCCUACAGCUUAUCUUUCCAAUAUAUUUCAAAUGUUUUGUGAUUUAUUAAGAAAUAUGUUACAUAGACUUCACGUAAGUUCCAGGUAUGUAGAAACUUGAAAAAUGUGUUAUCUGGGAUCAUGUAAAAUUUUCUCAGGGGAAAAAAAGAGCCAGAAGAUGGGGAGAGAUGGCUCAGCAGUUAAGAGCAUUUGCUAUUCUUGGAGAGGACUCAGGUCCAGUUCCUAGUACCCACUGAACACUUUUUACAACCACCUGUAAUCAGUCUGUUGAGGUGGUAUUGAAUAGGUGGAGGCAGAUUAGCAAAUGUGAGGGUAGCCUGGGGGUGCUGUUUACAGACCAGCCUUUAUCCUAACAUUGAAAGGCACUCAGUUCAACCCCAGGUACUACAAAGGAAAAAGGAGUAAUGCUUAUUACUAGUGCUAGGUGUUCCUAGGCCAGGGCCACACCCUCUUUUCACAAUUUCAGUCACUGCCAGAUCCCUUCUGAGUACCCCCAUGACCAAAUUUCAUGAUCUAAGUCAGUGCACUACCCUGUUAAAUUACAAAACCACCAAUAAGAAGUGGUAAUUCAGUAAUCAUGCUCUAAAUGUGGCCCAGGCUACACAUUAUAAAACGUGUACCUGAUACUUACAGACACUACAGAAAGUGGGUUGGCUACUAGGCAGUUAGUAGUUACGGAAGUUACACUUGUAGGACUUACCAGUGUUUAAGUGUAAGAGUAAAUAAGACUUGAAUAAGUAAAUGCUUAAUAGAAGUCUUGACAUAGUUAUUCUUGGGGUCAACUGUCAUCAACCAAAUAAUGAAGACAUGCUGAAAAGACAGCUCAGCAGUUAAAAGCACUUACCACUCUUAUUACAGAGAACCUGUGUUUGGUUCCCAGUAUCCAAAUAGUGACUCACAACUAUCUGUAACUCCAGUUUCAGGUUUUGACACCCUCUUCUGAGCACAUGCAUGCAUGAGGUACACAUACCACACACACACACACACACACACACUUUAAAAAAUUAAAAACAUGAAAGCAAGAGCUAGAGCUGGUAUUGUAAUUCAAUUUCUCUUAUUGCUUCGGCCUCCUCUCCUGAUCAAAUGGUAAAAUGCUGGAAGUCAAUCACAAUUAGUCUAGUCUCUACUAAACAACAACAACCCAGAUUUGAACUAGUCUGUAAAAGGAAUCAUUAGAAGGUCUUUUUAAUAAAGACAAAUCUGGGCUGGGUACUGGGGUGAACACUGGAAGAUCAGAGAAACAGAACAAGCCACAGCUUCCUCACCUUGCCAAUUCCUCAGCUGAUCCUGUUUCCUCACACUGGAAGCCUGAGUCCUCAUCCAAAAUGGAUCUCAGCUGAACUGCUGCUAAAGCCUAAAAGCUUAACCUGCUUAGUUCCUAGUUUUCACGCCUUAUAUACCUUUCUGCUUUCUGCUCUCACUUCCUGGGAUUAAAGGCUUGAGUCACCAUGCCUGGCUGUUUCCAGUGUGGAUUUAAACUCAGACAUCCGCAUGGAUCUCUGCCUCCCAAGUGAAAGGAUUAAAGGCAUGUGCGCCACCUUAUCUAGUGGCUGUUCUGUUCUCUGACCCCAGAUAAAUUUAUUAGAGUACACAAUAUUUUGGGGAACACCACACUAGUCUGCUAAUUUUAAAUUGUAGCUUGACUAAAGAUCAGAAUGGAAUAAAGCUACACCAAUCUAGAGAAACAUAUUAGGUUUGAUACAAUCAUAACCACAAUACAGAGCUUCUGAUGCAUAAAUCCUGAACUUUUUUUGGUGUUUUGACUCACCAGGCUCAUAAGCCUUAUGAAAGUUUGUUUUUAAUGUUUAAAAAGGCAGUGUAAAGAAUAUUUUCUCUCCAUAUUGCUUUAUAACAUUAAAGCAAACUCGAGAUUGAUGAGAGAACUUGUUUGUUCACUUUUGUACAGGAAACCUUCAGCCAGCCAAAGUGAUGGUAUACACCUGUGAUACCAAAUUUAGGAGGUAGGAGGAGGAAUCCAAAUUGCGCCUCCUGCAUACCAAGUUCAAGGUGAAACCUUGUUUCAUAACUAGCUGUCUCCCCCAAGGGUCCUUUACUUAGAUAUUCUACUUACAAUAGAACUUUAUGGACCUAGAGAGAUAGCUCAGCAGUUACGGGUACGCUUAAUGCACACGUGAGCACACACACACACAAUCUCAGCACUCUGGAGGCAGAAGUGGGUGGAUCUCUUUAAAGGCCAAUCUGGUCUACAAAGAGUUCCAGGCUGACCAUGGCUACACAGAGACCCACUUUUUCUUUUUUUUAAAACUUACCUUAAGAGGCCACAGCCUUCAUAAGCCUCAAUUGAUCAUUACUGUAUUUGCAGAGCUUAAAAAAUAAGGUGUUUAAUAAACUCAGAAAUAAUUUAAGUGAGAACCUGACAGUUUUCUUUAGUAUGGAAGAUUGCUAAUGAAAAGCAAUAGUCAAGACUGCUCAAAUCUUUAGGAACAAUUCCUGAUACUGCCAAUAUGGUUUCUCAGAAAAGCUAAAUACUCUAGAAGUUUGGCUGACAGAAACAAAUUCUUUCAAUCAGUUUCUUGUUAAAGUUAUAGCUAUUUAAUAUGUUUUAAUUCAUACUUAACCCAUAUGCCUUGAAUUGUUGAGGAUAGUAAAUAAGUUCCUAGUUCAAUGUAUAGAAAAUUCCAAAAAUUAUCCAGUACUUCCUAAGUGUUAAAGUUUUCAUCACAAUAUAACAUAGACUAUAAUUUUUAACUAGACUUUGUUAAGUAGCAAGUGUUUCAUAUUAUGUUCCAGAUGAUUCCUAGAUCAGAUUUAGGAUUAUGAGUUUAGGCAGUCCAAUGGAUAUAUUCACAUAGUGAGAAACUGAGGCCUAACAGCCAUGUGAGAUGAAGUAGCUCCUCUAGCCUUUAUCAAGCCUUCAAGAAAAUGCAGUCCUGGAUGAUACUGGAUGGUAAUAAAAUCUUGUAUCAGAACAAACCGGAGAAGUCACACAUUGCUUGAUUGGGAAAUUAUGGGAGCCAACAAAUCUGUUGUUCGAAACUGCUAAAUUUUGAAGUGAUAUGGUAACUACGACACACAAAGAUCAUCCAUUGUUUCCUGUGGAAUAAGCAAAGUGCUAAUUCAGACAUCUUGAUUAGAAAUAUUUAACACUUGCUAAUCCUGUUAAGACAAAUUUUUCAAGUGCAUACUUCUUGGAUUGAAAUAAUUCCUAGACUCACUCAACUACUAAAACCCUCACUACAAAAAGGGGGUUGUGGGAGGAAAUAGAUGAGAAUAUGCAUAUUUACAGUCCAUAUUAAUUAGAACAAAGUCUAAAGUGCUAUUUUAAAUAAUUACAUUCAAAAUACAGUAAUAGACACCUCUGUGGAUCUUAUUUUUCUCUCACUGAGAGUAGGUAGAUAUAUUGGUCAGUGGUUUUUAUUCAAUGACAAUGCUGUUCAUAUUUAUAAUACCACUUUUGUGAGUGUGUGUGUGUGUGUUGUUUACUUUUUCUAAUAGUAAAGGAGACUUAGUGCUGAUACACUUCUUCCUGUUCAUCCAUACCCCAGGGUGAACAGGAAGAAGUGAAGGAAAGGCAGGGCCCACAGCAAACUUUCCUAAUUUUGAAUGCAAAGGAGGACAAGGAAAGGGGGAGAGGACAAAAAUACAAGUCCUAUAAUACAUACAAUAGGAUGGGAGGGUAUAGGAAAGGGAGAGACAUGAAGGUGAGGUUUAGAGCAGUGGAACUUCCCCAUAUUCUUUUCUUUCUGAUGCUGUUUCCAUAGUUUCCAGGCUGAGGUACACUCUCAGAAGAUGGGACUGGGAGAAGGGGGUCAGGGCCUCAGUUGCUACCCCCCACCCAACAGCUGUAGCUGUUGUAGGCAGACCUGUUGAUCUGAGGCUUUGCUGGGUGGAGCUGGUCUGGCUAUGUUGCCCGCUGCCCAACUGUUGGCCAAUGUUUUUAUCAAAGUCUGAAUUAGCAUGCCUUGAUUAUAUCUGGACUAUUUUCAUGGGUUUUAAAUUAGGUCUUAAAGAAAUAUAAUAAAACAGUAUGGGUCACAGCACACAACGAUGACAUAUAGUUGCAGACUGUAAAACUCAGCACUACAAUGAGUUUCAUGACAUUUACAGACAGAUCACUACCAGAACAUCACAUAAGUUUAUUUCAGAUGUAACAGCAACGUUAAAAUUGACAAGUUUAAUUCUUAACUGCACCAAGUAAACGUAGCCACUUAAGUAUCUUUAAAGAUAUUCCCUCCAAAAACUGAGGGAGUUUUUCUUUUCCACCACCACACACCAUGCUUCCCAAUAGUUCUCUUUUUGGAGGACUUUCAAUUAAUGAGUGACCUGCUUUGGAGAUACUUAGGAACUCCUUUCCCCAGAUGAAAAUUAAUCUUGACAAAUUAUAUAUUGCAUAGAUUUCUCUACAGAUUCACUUUAGAACCAAAAUUCAAAUAGCAUACAGAAUAAUUUUAACCUAUUUACUGCACAGUAAAAACAAUCUGUCCUGAAAAAUGGAGAUAGUGUGUUAUCUUCCAGUUAACAGUUUACUGUUUUAUCUCAAAGAUUAUACUUAUCAUAUAUUAAAAACAAAGAAAAAAAAAAA